GACGAACGCUGGCGGCGUGCUUAACACAUGCAAGUCGAACGGAAAGGCCCUGCUUGCAGGGUACUCGAGUGGCGAACGGGUGAGUAGCACGUGGGUGAUCUGCCCUGCACUUCGGGAUAAGCCUGGGAAACUGGGUCUAAUACCGGAUAGGAGCCAUUUUUAGUGUGAUGGUUGGAAAGUUUUUUCGGUGUAGGAUGAGCUCGCGGCCUAUCAGCUUGUUGGUGGGGUAAUGGCCUACCAAGGCGGCGACGGGUAGCCGGCCUGAGAGGGUGGACGGCCACAUUGGGACUGAGAUACGGCCCAGACUCCUACGGGAGGCAGCAGUGGGGAAUAUUGCACAAUGGGCGCAAGCCUGAUGCAGCGACGCCGCAUGGGGGAUGACGGCCUUCGGGUUGUAAACUCCUUUCGCUAGGGACGAAGCUUUUUGUGACGGUACCUAGAUAAGAAGCACCGGCUAACUACGUG
rnacentral:rRNA from 1 species